rnacentral:rRNA from 1 species
UACGAAGGGGGCUAGCGUUGCUCGGAAUCACUAGGCGUAAAGCGCACGUAGGCGGACUCUUAAGUCGGUGGUGAAAUCCUGGAGCUCAACUCCAGAACUGCCUUCGAUACUGAGAGUCUCGAGUCCGGGAGAGGUGAGUGGAACUGCGAGUGUAGAGGUGAAAUUCGUAGAUAUUCGCAAGAACACCAGUGGCGAAGGCGGCUCACUGGCCCGGUACUGACGCUGAGGUGCGAAAGCGUGGGGAGCAAACAGG